ACCUUCUUCUGAAAGAUCUUGUCUCAUUCUUCUCUUGGGAAGGGUGGGUCGUAAGGUGAAAGUGCACAACCUCUCGAGAGUAAACCUAAGAUCUUAGCCGUGUCCCCGGUUAUGGACAAUUUGAGCUUCUAGGCAGGGAAUGUACGGAGGAAUCUCAUCACCUUUUCUGAAUGUAUUUAAAAUUUUGUAUCAACCUUUGAAAACUCAUGGGAGAUGUAACCAUGUGAUUAUUCUAAAACCCAUGGAGGAUUUAACCAUGGUGUGAUUUCAUAAUGUCAUUCAAAGAUUUUCAAAAUGUUUUGUUUUAAAUAAAAUGUAGGAUAAAAUUGGCUUUAUGCAAAUUUGCCUAAACUCCACUUGCCAAAUAUCAUGUAGAUAGUCAUGCCCAAAACUGCCACCAUAUAAGUGUCAUUUGCCAGUACAUCAUUGUACUGACCUCCAUUCGUGGGGCUGCAUAUUCAAACGUGCAGGAUUUUCUGAGGAGAAGUACGUGGUAGGAUCUCGAGUCUACAUUCCAACAUGACUGCUUGUGGCACAUGAAGAUGAUGAAGGCUCAUUGCUGAUUUACUUUCCGCUGUGUUCAUUCUGAGCUAGUCCAUGUGACUAUGCAAUUUGUAAGGUUUUGUUGUACCCUCUGGAUCAACGAUGUAGUAAUUUGAUACUAUUGCAAUGAUUACUGUAUUUUGUAA